GAGGGAGAGGGGAGAAAGGGGGUAACCUGCCUGUAARACUGGGAUAACUCCGGGAAACCGGGGSUAAUACCGGAUGGUUGUUUGAACCGCAUGGUUCAAACAUAAAAGGUGGCUUCGGCUACCACUUACAGAUGGACCCGCGGCGCAUUAGCUAGUUGGUGAGGUAACGGCUCACCAAGGCGACGAUGCGUAGCCGACCUGAGAGGGUGAUCGGCCACACUGGGACUGAGACACGGCCCAGACUCCUACGGGAGGCAGCAGUAGGGAAUCUUCCGCAAUGGACGAAAGUCUGACGGAGCAACGCCGMGUGAGUGAUGAAGGUUUUCGGAUCGUAAAGCUCUGUUGUUAGGGAAGAACAAGUACCGUUCGAAUAGGGCGGUACCUUGACGGUACCUAACCAGAAAGCCACGGCUAACUACGUGCCAGCAGCCGCGGUAAUACGUAGGUGGCAAGCGUUGUCCGGAAUUAUUGGGCGUAAAGGGCUCGCAGGCGGUUUCUUAAGUCUGAUGUGAAAGCCCCCGGCUCAACCGGGGAGGGUCAUUGGAAACUGGGGAACUUGAGUGCAGAAGAGGAGAGUGGAAUUCCACGUGUAGCGGUGAAAUGCGUAGAGAUGUGGAGGAACACCAGUGGCGAAGGCGACUCUCUGGUCUGUAACUGACGCUGAGGAGCGAAAGCGUGGGGAGCGAACAGGAUUAGAUACCCUGGUAGUCCACGCCGUAAACGAUGAGUGCUAAGUGUUAGGGGGUUUCCGCCCCUUAGUGCUGCAGCUAACGCAUUAAGCACUCCGCCUGGGGAGUACGGUCGCAAGACUGAACUCAACGGAAUUGACGGGGGGCCGCC
rnacentral:rRNA from 1 species